rnacentral:lncRNA from 1 species
UCGAUUUUGGGGAAAUAGUGUGUAAAGUUUAAUGUAUAAACAAUUUAUGUUUAUAUCUUCCGCAAACAGUUAUAGAAUAAGCGAACCGGAUCCGCGGCGAUUCGGGGGCGCUAUAGUUGGUAUCAAAGCUGUUGGUUAUAAACCUAGGGUAGAGUUAUCUUAGACUAAUAAUCGCAGUGAUAGGAUAAGAUCUAACUCACAUAGAGUUAGUUGGUCAGUAAGAUUCAAAGAAGAAUCUCAGCAGGUUAUAAAAGAUACGGAGUUCCCUAACUCUGAUAAAGAAGUUAAGAAUCAAAAAGUUAUAUUUAAGUAUGGUACAAUUGUACUCUUUAAUAGUUGAUGUAUGGUAUCUGGGCUAAACGAUUCCUUCAUAGAGCAGAGGUAUAUACGAACUAGCAACUCGGAGCCUAGUUUGUUGGUUGUUUGUGGGAAACCACUCAGCGUACCAUAUUGAAACUGUUAGAGACUCGAUGUGUACCAAGUAUAGAAAGUGGAUAGAUCGAGUCUAAAAGACUGAAAGUGCAGGGAUAUGAGAUCGUAAAAUAAAACGAUCAAGUCAUAGAAUUGAAUCGUAAUAUAUACGAUGAGAUCAUCCUCUGAUCUGUUAAGGUUAUGACAGCCAGAAAGAAUCAAUCGGAUGAUUGAAUCAAUCGACGAGAUCUAUAACUUUCAUUCUUUGAGAUUUUAGAAAUAAGGAACAGAUGAAGGUCGAAAUUGGGCUGGAAGUGACUCCUGUGCAAAUGGCCAUCCAAAAUAGUGACGUUCGAUGUCCGUUGGUACAAAUGUCAUAACUCUUGCAUCCGAACUCCCAUUGGAAUGAUUCAAGAUGUUCUGGAAAGUUAAGAAGAAGCUCUAAAAUAUAAUCCAAGUUCCAAACCAAGAACAUGAAAUAAACAUAAAAGCCAAAACGAUGUCCGGAUUGCUUUUCUUUGCAUUUUCAUACCAUUUCUUUGCGAUUUCAACUCCCAAGAAUAUAAUCUACAAAAGGAACAUGAAACGCAUGAAAAGUAACUAAGAAACAUGAGAUUAAGCAAAUAAUUCAAGUAAUAGAUACCAGUUAAGUAGGUAUAAAACCUACGUAUCAGCUAUAUACAUUUGAAAUGAGAUCCUUAUUCUCACUAGCAUGUCUUUAAUUAGAUAUCGCAUAACUAUAUAAAUUGAG